UAAAACAAAGCAAAAAAACCUUUAGUGUAUUAUAACGUACAUACAGAAAAGUGCACGCAUCCUAAAUGUACAGUUCAACGAAUUUUCACAUUCCGAACAUACCUGCCUAACCACUCAAAUACAGAAACCCUUCCCCAAAGUUCCCAGUUGGCUAUCCUGCAAAGAGCAUGGAUGGGCUGUACUGGAAUUCGUGGUGAUACACCUGAAGAACACGACACCGUGUGCGCGAAUGUGAACGAACGUACGCAAACGUGCAUCCUGCUGGGUGGAUGAGAAGAGGCAGAAAUUGAUGGACACAUGGCUCUGGGCCCAAAUACAGUGAAGGACCCCAGAGACAAGGGAAGCAGCUUAACAAAGAGAAGAAAGGGGAUUUGGGUAAACUGAGCCCCAGCUCUACGUUUACUUCAUGAAGAACUUCUCUGAGACUUGGUUUCCUCAUGGGUAAAAUGAAGAUGACACCUCCAUUACACAGAUUGGCGAGGAUUAAGUGACAAGCACGCAGUAGCGUACAAGAACAAGCUGACAAAACAAAAAGCACUGUAUUAUUUACGGGGGGGGGGGAAUGUCAAGAAUUGCUUUAUUUAAAAGAUAAUUGAGGAAAUAACACCAUAACCGUAAAUUAAUUUAUUUAAAGUAAAAAAUGCCUUAAGCUUUAAGAAAAGUUUCCUUAAGCCUAUUAUGGUACUAUUUAUAUCAAGUGAUAUAAAUAUUCAUUUAUUCAUUUACUCAUCAUUUAUUUUAAUAAUCACUUAUGUAAUUCAUCUAAAUAAUAUUUUGCCAGCUUUCAAAACAACUAAAUCAUAAAGUUGAUAUUUUUGAUCAACUAAAUCAAAAAUAGAAAUGUAAUUUGUAAUGUAUUUGCACUAGGAAAAUACUUAUUUAUCCAAGGAGAAGACAUUGAGGAACUGAAAAUAUGUUUGCUAUGAAAACUUUCAGUAGUUUCACAUCAAGUAAUAAUCUAACUAGUAAUUUACAGCUAAGACGUUUGCUUCCAUUCUUGAAGGAAAAACUCAAAUCUCAUAAUAUUUUUUAUAUUAUAUGCUUUUCUUCUAUGGUAAUCAUUUAUUAAAUCAAGUUAAUUAUUAACCAAGUUCAACCAUGGUAAAUAAUUAAAUAAAUAAUUGCUGAGCACCGUUAUGUACAAGUUACUGUUAACCAGUGUUACUCACUUUUCCUUUCAGAGCUAAAGCCUUGUGUUUUGUGAGAGACUAAAAAGUAUGCCUUUUGUA